rnacentral:rRNA from 1 species
AUUAUUGGGCGUAAAGAGCUCGUAGGCGGUUUGUCACGUCUGCUGUGAAAUCCCGAGGCUCAACCUCGGGCUUGCAGUGGGUACGGGCAGACUAGAGUGCGGUAGGGGAGAUUGGAAUUCCUGGUGUAGCGGUGGAAUGCGCAGAUAUCAGGAGGAACACCGAUGGCGAAGGCAGAUCUCUGGGCCGUAACUGACGCUGAGGAGCGAAAGCAUGGGGAGCAAACAGGCUUAGAUACCCUGGUAGUCCAUGCCGUAAACGUUGGGAACUAGAUGUGGGGACCAUUCCACGGUCUCCGUGUCGUAGCUAACGCAUUAAGUUCCCCGCCUGGGGAGUACGGCCGCAAGGCUAAAACUCAAAGGAAUUGACGGGGGCCCGCACAAGCGGCGGAGCAUGCGGAUUAAUUCGAUGCAACGCGAAGAACCUUACCAAGGCUUGACAUAUGCGAGAACGCGCUGGAGACAGCGAACUCUUUGGACACUCGUAUACAGGUGGUGCAUGGUUGUCGUCAGCUCGUGUCGUGAGAUGUUGGGUUAAGUCCCGCAACGAGCGCAACCCUCGUCCUAUGUUGCCAGCACGUAAUGGUGGGAACUCAUGGGAUACUGCCGGGGUCAACUCGGAGGAAGGUGGGGAUGAGGUCAAAUCAUCAUGCCCCUUAUGUCUUGGGCUUCACGCAUGCUACAAUGGCCGGUACAAUGGGCUGCGAUACCGUAAGGUGGAGCGAAUCCCAAAAAGCCGGUCUCAGUUCGGAUUGAGGUCUGCAACUCGACCUCAUGAAGUCGGAGUCGCUAGUAAUCGUAGAUCAGCAACGCUACGGUGAAUACGUUCCCGGGCCUUGUACACACCGCCCGUCAAGUCAUGAAAGUCGGUAACACCCGAAGCCGGUGGCCUAACCCUUUUGGAGGGAGCCGUCGAAGGUGGGAUCGGUGAUUAGGACUAAGUCGUACAGGGGAAAACCGGUAAA